ACGAACGCUAGCGGCGCGCCUUAAGCAUGCAAGUCGAACGGUCACGUAGCAAUACGUGAUAGUGGCGGACGGCUGAGUAACACGUCGGUAUCUACUCUUUAGCGGAGGAUAGCCAGCCGAAAGGCUGGGUAAUACUGCAUAAUCCUUACGAGGGAAAGCAUUAACUGUGCACUGAAGAAUGAGCCGGCGGCCUAUCAGCUAGUUGGUGGGGUAACGGCCCACCAAGGCUAUGACGGGUAGGGGGUGUGAGAGCAUGACCCCCCAGAAUGGGACUGAGACACGGCCCAUACACCUACGGGUGGCAGCAACUGGGAAUCGUACGCAAUGGACGAAAGUCUGACGUCGCGACGCCGCGUGGAGGAUGAAGGCCUUCGGGUUGUAAACUCCUUUUGACAGAACAGCAAUGUCUGUAGAAUAAGCACCGGCAAACACCGUGCCAGAAGCUUCGGUAAUACGGUGGGUGCAAGCGUUGUCCGGAUUUACUGGGCGUAAAGAGUCUGUAGGCUGUUUGGCGCGUCUCGUGUUAAAGGUUUGGGCUUAACCCAAAACAUACAUGAGAUACGGCCCUGACUUUAGAGAAUUUUCGGGGGUACUGGAACUCACAGUGGAGGGGUGAAAUCCGUUGAUAUUGUGAGGAACACCGACGGCGAAGGCGGGUACCUAGGAAAUUUCUGACGCUGAGAGACGACAGCUAGGGGAGCGAAAGGGAUUAGAGACCCCUGUAGUCCUAGCCGUAAACUCUGCUCGCUAGGGAUACGGAUUUUUUCUGUGUUCCGUAAGCUAACGCGUUAAGCGAGCCGCCUGGGGAGUACGGUCGCAAGACUAAAACUCAAAGGAAUUGACGGGAGAGCGCACAACCAGUGGAACAUGUGGUUUUAAUUCGAUAAUAACCGAAAGACCUCACCCAGGUUUGACAUCCAACUGCAAAUCCUAAGAAACUAGGAUUCUUUCGAAGGUGUUGGACAGGUGUUGCAUGGCUGUCGUAAGCUCGCGCCGUGGGGUGUCCUCUUAAGUGAGGAAACGAGCGAAACCCCUAUUGUAUGUUAAAUAUUCAUACGAGACUGCUCUAUUUCUUAAUAGAGAGGAAGGAGGGGAUGACGUCAAGUCAGCAUGGCCCUUAUACCUGGGGCCACACACAUGUUACAAUGAGGCCGACAAUGGGUCGCCAAGCCGCGAGGCGGAGCUAAUCCCAUCAAACGGCCUCUCAGUGGGGAUUGGAGUCUGAAAACCCGACUCCAUGAACGCGGAAUUGGUAGUAAUCGCAGAUCAGCUAUGUUGCGGUGAAUACGUUUCUCGCUCUUUGUACACACCGCCCGUCAAGUGAGUGAAAUUGGCAGUACCUGAAGUAUCACAUUGUGGUCCAAAGGUAAGGUCAGUAACAAGCACU
rnacentral:rRNA from 1 species